rnacentral:rRNA from 1 species
UACGUAGGUGGCAAGCGUUGUCCGGAUUUACUGGGCGUAAAGAGCGCGCAGGCGGUCUUGCAAGUCGCGUGUGAAAGCCCCCGGCUCAACUGGGGAGGGUCACGCGAUACUGCUCGACUCGAAGGCAGGAGAGGGAAGUGGAAUUCCCGGUGUAGUGGUGAAAUGCGUAGAUAUCAGGAGGAACACCGGUGGCGAAGGCGGCUACCUGGACAGAAACUGACGCUGAGGCACGAAAGCUAGGGGAGCAAACAGG